AGACUGUUGAUUUUUCUCUAGAUAUUCCUGACUAAGGAGAGAGAACAAUUUCCUGCUAGGAACCAGGGCAGAUGUGGAGGUCCCAGCAACCUCUGUGGGGCUCCGGUGACUGUAAGGAGCAGACACAGCCCUUUAGGCCUCAGCGCUCUGGCUGCUGGGUGUACCGUGAGGAAUUCAACUUGCAGCUGCGUUGCUAUUAUUUUCCCGUGCCCGAAUCUCCCAUGUAUAUUGAAACCCAUGCUAUUGGUUGUAUAACGACAUUUAUUUUGGUGCCUGCCACUCAAGGGGAGGGGAGAGGAUGGUUUACCCUUGAACUUAAUAGUGUAACCAAUAUCAAACAGUUACUUAAAAAAGUACUUUUUGUCUUUAUAAUAGUUUUUUCACUGUUGUCAAUAUCACAAGGCUAUGAAAUCUGCUCUAAAUAAAUACUAGUGAUACUUCCCAUUCAAGAUUCCCCUGAGGGUCUAAUAGCUUCUUUGGAGUGAUGAAAAACUGCGUCUCAAAAUUCCCCAUUUUAGUAUUUACUGUGUUCAGAUUAUCUAGAGAUGAGACUGCACAAAACAGCAUUUUACAAUGACAUGUACAAAUGCCAGUUUUUCCCAAUCAAUGAAAAUCUGUGUCUCAAAUUUAAGUAGGAUACUGAGAGAACACAAUAUUUAGCCAGUGUAGGGAAUCAUGCAGGUAAGUGAGGUGUGCAAAUUACCUUGCAUAAUAUGUAUAUUUGCACAGAGGCCUAACAUUAAGAAUGAACAUUUUACCCUUUAUUUUAAUGCAUGGAUUAUAUAAAUAAAAGCCUGGAACAAAGGUGGAAAGAUGUAUGCUUAUUUAUCAGUAAAAAUACCAUGUGAUUGCUGGAAGCAACAUUUGUUUCUGAUCUGUCAAUGACACUCCCAAGUAAUGCAGGGCAAUGAGGGGAUUCCAGAUGAAAAUGAUAGUGUGAGUUUGAUAUUUGGACCAGAUACCAGAAGGGACAAGCUAGACUCGCUUAGUAGGUUUUUGCCUAAUGAGGUAGUAAAGGUCAUUUUUUUCUGAAAAAUGUUUAUUAGAUCUAAAAUUUUUAAAGCCCAAACCAAGAAUUUCUUUAUUUGAGGUUUAUAGGUUACUUUUUUUCCCCAUGAUUAUCUUAAAGGAAUCCUUCUUAACUGAAACUCUGCUUUAAAAAGGGUAUCAAAUGGGUCCUCACGAGGGACCAUGGUGCUGGAGUUAGGGCAAAGUCUGCAGCCAGCAGAUUAAGGUCUGUAUUUGCAGCAAUUCUCUAGAAAUAAUGAACACUUCCAGAGUCAUACACACACACACACAUUUAACUUGAAUAUAUGCUGACAGCAGAAACUGUCUGUUUUCAUAGUUGUUGGUAGCCCUAAGUUUACCUGCAAAUUUCAUUCAGGCUUCACUGUGCAAGCACGUACUCCUUGCACUUACAUCCUGCUUGCACUGUGGAUCUCAGAGUAUGAGCACAAGUAUGGAUGGGAAGACCAGUAAAGCCCAUGUCUCCUGGCUGGGCUGGACCUGCCUGUCAGAUGCAGCCCCCAGGAUUCCCUCAGUUGUGUUUUCCUGCCAACCAUCGGCUCUCUGAGACCAUAUCAAAGCUAUUCUAUUUCCAAAAUGCCGCUUCCCUCAAAACCUGGCUUCAUCAAGCUAAAACCCAAAAGGGGAAAGCCUUCGUUAACCGGGUAGGGGUGGGGUAUUUCUGCAUUAAUUAAUUAAUUAUUUCUGUGCUACAGAACAGCUAAAGUUGCUUCAAUAAGCCCAAACUGGAACACCGAUAUUUAAUGGUGCGCCCCUUACUUCUCCCCACCCACACACUUACUCUUGAUACAGCAGAGCGAGCCUGUCAAAACUAAGUCAGAUCCCUGUGAGCUCCCACUGCCAUCCUCCGAUGGCUUCCUGUUUUAUUCGAAGCAAGUACUGUUGGGCCCAGAGCAGGCCACCCCAAAAUAUCCCUCCAUUGCAUACUGAUUACUUUGAAUUAAAGUUACAAGACGGACACCUUGACCCGACCUCAUCUCCUUGAAUGCAGGAAACAAGUCUUCCCCGUGAAGGUGCCCUCCUUGCUUGAGCGGGGGCUAAGAGAGACCCUUACUGCUCAGGUUAAGGAAGCCAGGGCAGAAAAGCUAACAUAAACAACACUUGUGACUCCUCUAAGAAAUUUACGAUCCAAACCCAAACUUUGUUUAGAUUUCCCACUAAUGAACAGCCAAGCCUCAGUGUCUUUGUCCUUUGGCAUCUUCACAAGUGCACCGUUUGUC